rnacentral:piRNA from 1 species
UAGAAAAUGAAUUUCAACAGAGAUGGCAAGGU